GCUCAGUUGGUGUAAUCGGUAGCAUUUGAGACUGUGAAUCUCAAGGAGUGGGUUCGAAUCCCUCACUGAGCC
rnacentral:tRNA from 1 species